CCCUCCCGCCGCCCCUUCCGGCCCCCGCCCCGCCGCGCCGCGCGAGUUUCCUUCGUCACCCGCCAAGCCGCCAGGAGGCCCCCGCAGAGCUUCCUCCGCGGAGCCCGGCGAGAGGCCGCUCCCCCGCCGGCUCCCCCAGGGGGCAGGGUGGCAGAGCCCCGCCUGCCGCGCCGACCCCUGCACCUGGCACGGCGCAGAGUGUUGGGCCUCAGUUUCCUCGGCUGCGCAGUGGGGGAGGGGGCCCUAUUUGACGCCCUGGACAUGAGGGGUGCAGGGGUGGGAAGGCGCGCGGUCGGCCGGCACGUGCUCCCGAGGAGGCCGAGGCCCGGCCGGCCUCUGCUGGGGAGGAAGGCCCCCACACCGCAGCCCGGCGCCCCUUGCCAAGGACAGUGGCGCCUUGGGGCCUCGCCGGCCAGCCUCCACCCCUGCCCCGCACAGCCCCGGCCUCUCCUCGGAUGUGGAGGCCGGGCCUCCCGCUGCCUCGAGGCCUCUUCUCCCCCAUCUGCACAACCUGCUUCCUCAUUUCCUUCCCAGGUGUCGCCCUCCCCUCCUCCGGACGUCCAGGUCCACGGCCGGUGCUCCGCUCGCUGUCCUCCCCACGCAGGCGGCGCCCUCCCCCGGCACGGAGGGCUCGGUGGCCAGGAGCAGGCAGGGCAUUCGGAAGAGCAUCCCCGGCCUGUUCCCACUGCCACGCCUUCGCCCACGCCGGUCCUCUCGCCUGCAGUCCUUUCGGCUUCAGUGCUGUCACCGCUGGGGCCCGCUUUCCUGGGCGCCCUUUGGUCAGGCUUGGCCAACGCAGUGUGUUCUUGCUGCUCCCCAAACUCCUUCCCCGCCCUACAGUUUCCUCCAUAGGUUCUGCGCCGCAGGACAAGCAUAGAAUCAACUCAUCCCUUUUGCCCCGGACGCCCAGGACAAGUGCCAGAAAAUACUUGUUGAACGAAUAAAUGAAUAUCACUUGUGCUCGCUCCUUUCUAUUUCAGUAAUACUCCAGGGAACAUUUCCUGGCUCAGAAAGAGAUGUGCCUACAUAAGAAUGAUCAGAUAAAUGCAAUAUUGCUGGCAUUGAAGAUGGAAGAAGAGGCCACGAGUCAAGGAAUGUAGGCAGCUUCUUGAAGCUGAAAAAGGAAAAAAACAAAAAAAACCCCACCAAUUCUCCCAUAGACGCCCCCUGCCUGCUCCUUGAUUCAGCCCGGUGAAUCCUCAGUUGGACUUCUAGCCUAAAGAACUGUAACAUAACAAAUAUGUGUGGUUUUGAGGCACACAGUUAAAUUUGUGUGCAUUUGUUAUAGCAGCUAACCCAAUACAGUAAGCAACUUAAGGUAGAGAAUUGAUUGUAUCAGCUCUCAACACUCAGCACUUCUUUCCCCGAGGUUUCUUUUACAAACAACACUAGAACAACAAUAAAGCAAAACGUAGCAAAAAGAAAAAACAACCACCAGCCAACUGCUUUAAUGGGUCAGCUGCUUCAUUUUUCCAUGUUCCCCCCUGGGACUUGCCUAAAUGCCAUUUUCUACACUGCUGUGACAAUGGCAUCAAUGGAUUACCUUUUCAUCUUUGCAUCUUUGGGGCUGAUCUUACUCAAUGAGCCAGUCAGUGUUAAGAGCAAAAGCUUCCAUAGAACGCGUCUCCCAUUUUUUAAGUGUCCGACAGGCCCAGAAACUUGUUAAACAAGAUGCCAGUUCAGCUGAGAGGCCCUGGCCACCACCCUGCCUUCUGCAGGCCUCAGUUCGCUGUCUGUAUAAUGGGAUGUGGAGUUGGCUGUUCUCUGAGAUCACUCCUGGCCUUAAUGUUCGGCAAGUCCAUGAUUGGACCCCGAUUGUUCCUCCUUUCUCCUUGAUCUCUAAAGCCAGAAGCACUUCCACCAGCGUUUUUAAAGGAGUGGUCUCAUGAACUCACAGACUAAGACGGUUCUGGCAGAGAUUUCUAUGUUGAUGCCGAGCUAAGGGAAUAUUUCCAGGAAGUCUGUCCUAGAGCCUUUACAAUAACCAUUCUUUGAAGAAUUGCCUCACCUUCGAUUACCAUUACCUCAAGAACGGUAGGCCUUUUCGCCAACCAUCCUUUCAAGAACCGUUUUUUGCAGCUGGCCUUUGUGAGAGGUGGAAAGUGCGGGUCCUGUGUCAGUCCUUCCUUGUAGCUAAUUAUCCUCCGAGAUGAGGAGUGCGCAUAUGCGAGACGGGCCCAGAAGAAAAAGCAAUUAAUUCUGGGGCAGAUUAGGUAUAAACAGCCCCAUCUUGGGUCAGUGAGCACAUGUUCCAAAAGGCAGGUUCAAGGGCUCUUCCAUCCAGCCCUGAAAAACAGUUAAAACUUGUGCGGUGGUCAUGUGAGUGCGUGUGUCAGUAGCUUCCUGGCCACGUGCCUUCCCAUGACUCAUGGGUCUCCUCUGCUCGGGUCCCUGUUCCCCAGCCUCUCUUUCACUUGGAAAGUUAAGUCCAACCACCCCCGGGUCUAGAUUGCAACACUGGCCUUGUCUUACCUGCUGCAAAGGCUGAGGCCCUACCUGAAACCUUCAACCGCCUCCCUCCUCCCUUCCUCCAGCCCCUUUCCACUCCCCACCCUCUUCACGGAGUAUUUUCUCAGCCUCAGCUGUCCUCAGAAAUUCUACCAUUAGCACUCCACUUAUUAUUUUUAACAGAUCCCUGCUAAAAUUCCCCUGGAGGGGAUAACCUUAAAUUUAUUAUGCUUGCACCUUGGUGAGAGUAAAGGAUGCAGAAGAGAUUUCGCAAGAGGAAAUGCCGGCUGGGAGUGGGAGACGCAUGCUGUUAUUAUUGGAGAACCCGCCCUGUGCCCAGAGCUUCAUGGAUGUGGACAAGCGGAAUCCCUGAGCCCUGGAGGACAACAAGUGUUAUCUUUGUGUGUUAGAGGAGGCAAUCAAAACCCAGAGAGGUUGAGUCAUGCUCCAAAUCACAGCAAUCGACCUGGAGCCAGGAUCCUAAGGCUCCUAUAGCCAGGAAGGAAGAGACCCCAGUGCACACACCAUUUGCUAUUAACUCGUCCCUUUCCUGGUUUAAGUCAGGAAGGCCCAUUGGAGAAGGGUAUGCAGAAUUAUGAACUAAAAUAAAAUCUUGGCUGGGCGCGGUGGCCACGCCUGUAAUCCUA